CCUAACACAUGCAAGUCGAACGGUAACAGGAAGAAGCUUCGCUUCUUUCGCUGACGAGUGGCGGACGGGUGAGUAAUGUCUGGGAAACUGCCUGAUGGAGGGGGAUAACUACUGGAAACGGUAGCUAAUACCGCAUAACGUCGCAAGACCAAAGAGGGGGACCUUCGGGCCUCUUGCCAUCGGAUGUGCCCAGAUGGGAUUAGCUAGUAGGUGGGGUAACGGCUCACCUAGGCGACGAUCCCUGGCUGGUCUGAGAGGAUGACCAGCCACACUGGAACUGAGACACGGUCCAGACUCCUACGGGAGGCAGCAGUGGGGAAUAUUGCACAAUGGGCGCAAGCCUGAUGCAGCCAUGCC
rnacentral:rRNA from 1 species